rnacentral:rRNA from 1 species
GACGAACGCUGGCGGCGUGCUUAACACAUGCAAGUCGAGCGGUAAGGCCCUUUCGGGGGUACACGAGCGGCGAACGGGUGAGUAACACGUGGGUGACCUGCCCUCAGCUCUGGGGAUAAGCCUGGGAAACCGGGUCUAAUACUGGAUAUGACUCCAUGACGCAUGUUGUGGGGUGGAAAGCCUUGUGCGGCUGAGGAUGGGCCCGCGGCCUAUCAGCUUGUUGGUGGGGUGAUGGCCUACCAAGGCGACGACGGGUAGCCGGCCUGAGAGGGCGACCGGGCCACACUGGGACUGAGACACGGGCCCAGACUCCUACGGGAGGCAGCAGGUGGGGAAUCUUGCGCAAUGGGCGAAAGCCUGACGCAGCGACGCCGCGUGAGGGAUGACGGCCU